AGUCGAACGAUGAUCUCCAGCUUGCUGGGGGGAUUAGUGGCGAACGGGUGAGUAACACGUGAGUAACCUGCCCUUAACUCUGGGAUAAGCCUGGGAAACUGGGUCUAAUACCGGAUAUGACUCCUCAUCGCAUGGUGGGGGGUGGAAAGCUUUUGUGGKUUUGGAUGGACUCKCGGCCUAUCWSCUUGUKGGKGAGGUAAUGGSUCACCMMGGCGACAACAGGKAGCCSGCCUGAGAGGGKGACCGGCCACACUGGGACUGAGACACGSCCCACACUCCUACRGGAGGCAGCAGUGGGGAAUAUUGCRCAAUGGGCGGAARCCUGAUGCASCGACRCCGCGUGAGGGAUGACGGCCUUCGGGUUGUAAACCUCUUUCAGUAGGGAAGAAACGAAAGUGACGGUACCUGCAGAAGAAGCGCCGGCUAACUACGUGCCAGCAGCCGCGGUAAUACGUAGGGCGCAAGCGUUAUCCGGAAUUAUUGGGCGUAAAGAGCUCGUAGGCGGUUUGUCGCGUCUGCCGUGAAAGUCCGGGGCUCAACUCCGGAUCUGCGGUGGGUACGGGCAGACUAGAGUGAUGUAGGGGAGACUGGAAUUCCUGGUGUAGCGGUGAAAUGCGCAGAUAUCAGGAGGAACACCGAUGGCGAAGGCAGGUCUCUGGGCAUUAACUGACGCUGAGGAGCGAAAGCAUGGGGAGCGAACAGGAUUAGAUACCCUGGUAGUCCAUGCCGUAAACGUUGGGCACUAGGUGUGGGGGACAUUCCACGUUUUCCGCGCCGUAGCUAACGCAUUAAGUGCCCCGCCUGGGGAGUACGGCCGCAAGGCUAAAACUCAAAGGAAUUGACGGGGGCCCGCACAAGCGGCGGAGCAUGCGGAUUAAUUCGAUGCAACGCGAAGAACCUUACCAAGGCUUGACAUGAACCGGUAAGACCUGGAAACAGGUCCCCCACUUGUGGUCGGUUUACAGGUGGUGCAUGGUUGUCGUCAGCUCGUGUCGUGAGAUGUUGGGUUAAGUCCCGCAACGAGCGCAACCCUCGUUCCAUGUUGCCAGCGCGUUAUGGCGGGGACUCAUGGGAGACUGCCGGGGUCAACUCGGAGGAAGGUGGGGACGACGUCAAAUCAUCAUGCCCCUUAUGUCUUGGGCUUCACGCAUGCUACAAUGGCCGGUACAAAGGGUUGCGAUACUGUGAGGUGGAGCUAAUCCCAAAAAGCCGGUCUCAGUUCGGAUUGGGGUCUGCAACUCGACCCCAUGAAGUCGGAGUCGCUAGUA
rnacentral:rRNA from 1 species